CUCCCAAAGUGCUGGGAUUACAGGCGUUAGCCACCGCGCCCGGCCAAGUCCAAGGUAUUUUUAAAGCAAGGAAGGAAAGAAAAUGGAAGAUAAAAAGAAUGAACAUAAAAGUCUCAAGUUAAUUUUUAUGUCAGACUUCUGAAUGCCCCAAAAUGAAACAAUUCUGUAAGGCCGGGAGCAGUGGCUCAGGACUGUAAUCUCAGCACUUGGGGAGGCUGAGGUGGGUGGAUCACUUGAGGCCAGGAGUUCAAGACCAGCAUGGCCAACAUGGUGAAACCCUGUCUCUACUAAAAAUACAAAAAUUAGCCAGGCUUGGUGGCAUGUGCCUGAAAUCCCAGCUACUCAGGAGGCUGAGGAAGGAGAAUCGCUUGAACCUGGGAGGUGAUGGUUGCAGUGAGCUGAGAUCAUACCAGUGCACAUCAGCCUGGGUGACAGAACAAGACUCCGUCUCCAAAAACCAAACAAAAAAACAAACAGCCCACAACAAUUCUCUAAUGGCGAGGGAGUAAAUAAGUGACCGAUAAUGCUGGAGGAAGAGGAAGUGAAUGGGUCCCCAGUAUAGGUUAGAAUGAAAAAAUCCCUACCAAUGUAAAUCAAAUAUAAAAUAAACAAAAGAGUUCAUGUAUGUGUGCGGGAAGGAAAGUGAUAUUUGGGGGUUGGGAGGUGUUACUGAGGGUACCGAAUACAUAUAAACAACUCUUUAGUCACUCCCAAAGGUCUGGGAUGAGCAUUUUUUAACAUUUGAUACUCUACUAACUUAC
rnacentral:lncRNA from 1 species